rnacentral:rRNA from 1 species
GGCUUAGAGUUUGAUCAUGGCUCAGGACGAACGCUGGCGGCGCGCCUAACACAUGCAAGUCGAACGGAGUUCAUUCAGUUGAAGUUUUCGGAUGGAUACAGGGUGAACUUAGUGGCGAACGGGUGAGUAACGCGUGAGUAACCUGCCCCGAAGUGGGGGACAACAGUUGGAAACGACUGCUAAUACCGCAUAAGCCCACAGAGCCGCAUGGCUCGGAGGGAAAAGGACUUCGGUUUGCUUCGGGAUGGACUCGCGUCCAAUUAGCUAGUUGGUGAGGUAACGGCCCACCAAGGCGACGAUUGGUAGCCGGACUGAGAGGUUGAACGGCCACAUUGGGACUGAGACACGGCCCAGACUCCUACGGGAGGCAGCAGUGGGGGAUAUUGCACAAUGGGGGAAACCCUGAUGCAGCGACGCCGCGUGGAGGAAGAAGGUUUUCGGAUUGUAAACUCCUGUCGUAAGGGACGAUAAUGACGGUACCUUACAAGAAAGCCACGGCUAACUACGUGCCAGCAGCCGCGGUAAAACGUAGGUGGCAAGCGUUGUCCGGAAUUACUGGGUGUAAAGGGAGCGCAGGCGGGCUGUCAAGUUGGAAGUGAAAUCUAUGGGCUCAUCCCAUAAAUUGCUUUCAAAACUGAUGGUCUUGAGUAGUGCAGAGGUAGGCGGAAUUCCCGGUGUAGCGGUGGAAUGCGUAGAUAUCGGGAGGAACACCAGUGGCGAAAGCGGCCUACUGGGCACCAACUGACGCUGAGGCUCGAAAGCAUGGGUAGCAAACAGGAUUAGAUACCCUGGUAGUCCAUGCCGUAAACGAUGAUUACUAGGUGUUGGAGGAUUGACCCCUUCAGUGCCGCAG